AAGAGGACAACAGUUGGAAACGACUGCUAAUACUCUAUACUCCUGCUUAACACAAGUUGAGUAGGGAAAGUUUUUCGGUGUAGGAUGAGACUAUAUAGUAUCAGCUAGUUGGUAAGGUAAUGGCUUACCAAGGCUAUGACGCUUAACUGGUCUGAGAGGAUGAUCAGUCACACUGGAACUGAGACACGGUCCAGACUCCUACGGGAGGCAGCAGUAGGGAAUAUUGCGCAAUGGGGGAAACCCUGACGCAGCAACGCCGCGUGGAGGAUGACACUUUUCGGAGCGUAAACUCCUUUUCUUAGGGAAGAAUUCUGACGGUACCUAAGGAAUAAGCACCGGCUAACUCCGUGCCAGCAGCCGCGGUAAUACGGAGGGUGCAAGCGUUACUCGGAAUCACUGGGCGUAAAGGGCGCGUAGGCGGAUUAUCAAGUCUCUUGUGAAAUCUAAUGGCUUAACCAUUAAACUGCUUGGGAAACUGAUAGUCUAGAGUGAGGGAGAGGCAGAUGGAAUUGGUGGUGUAGGGGUAAAAUCCGUAGAUAUCACCAAGAAUACCCAUUGCGAAGGCGAUCUGCUGGAACUCAACUGACGCUAAGGCGCGAAAGCGUGGGGAGCAAACAGGAUUAGAUACCCUGGUAGUCCACGCCCUAAACGAUGUACACUAGUUGUUGGGGUGCUAGUCAUCUCAGUAAUGCAGCUAACGCAUUAAGUGUACCGCCUGGGGAGUACGGUCGCAAGAUUAAAACUCAAAGGAAUAGACGGGGACCCGCACAAGCGGUGGAGCAUGUGGUUUAAUUCGAAGAUACGCGAAGAACCUUACCUGGGCUUGAUAUCCUAAGAACCUUAUAGAGAUAUGAGGGUGCUAGCUUGCUAGAACUUAGAGACAGGUGCUGCACGGCUGUCGUCAGCUCGUGUCGUGAGAUGUUGGGUUAAGUCCCGCAACGAGCGCAACCCACGUAUUUAGUUGCUAACGGUUCGGCCGAGCACUCUAAAUAGACUGCCUUCGUAAGGAGGAGGAAGGUGUGGACGACGUCAAGUCAUCAUGGCCCUUAUGCCCAGGGCGACACACGUGCUACAAUGGCAUAUACAAUGAGACGCAAUACCGCGAGGUGGAGCAAAUCUAUAAAAUAUGUCCCAGUUCGGAUUGUUCUCUGCAACUCGAGAGCAUGAAGCCGGAAUCGCUAGUAAUCGUAGAUCAGCCAUGCUACGGUGAAUACGUUCCCGGGUCUUGUACUCACCGCCCGUCACACCAUGGGAGUUGAUUUCACUCGAAGCCGGAAUACUAAACUAGUUACCGUCCACAGUGGAAUCAGCGACUGGGGUGAAGUCGUAACAAGGUAACCGUAGGAGAACCUGCGGUUGGAUCACCUCCUUU
rnacentral:rRNA from 1 species